rnacentral:rRNA from 1 species
GGGUAAGUAGGUUGGUCGUGCCACCGGUACGUACUGGUCUCACUGAUUCCUCCUUCCUGAAGAACCGUAAUGCCAUUAAUUUGGUGUAGCGGGGAAACAGGACUGUUACUUUGAAAAAAUUAGAGUGUUUAAAGCAAGCUAACGCUUGAAUACAUUGGCAUGGAAUAAUGAAAUAGGACGAUCGAUCCUAUUUUGUUGGUUUCUAGGAUUGACGUA